rnacentral:rRNA from 1 species
UACGAAGGGGGCUAGCGUUGUUCGGAAUUACUGGGCGUAAAGGGCUCGUAGGCGGCCAACUAAGUCAGACGUGAAAUCCCUCGGCUUAACCGGGGAACUGCGUCUGAUACUGGAUGGCUUGAGUUCGGGAGAGGGAUGCGGAAUUCCAGGUGUAGCGGUGAAAUGCGUAGAGAUCCGGAGGAACACCAGUGGCGAAGGCGACACGCUGGGCCGUACCUGACACUGAUGCGCGACAGCAUGGGGAGCAAACAGG